AAUCCAUAAGCUCUUUAAGGACUUUUGAAAACCCUAAGGCUCAUAUUAUUUUGGGAUUUGGUUCUUCAUUUCUCUCUCCUUUGAUAGGAACCACCGACCCCCACUUUUUCUUUGCUGCCUUGCCGCCGGCCGGCCACCAACGGCAAUGGCUGGCACCUUUUAUUGCCUCAUCGCUGUUCUUCUCCUCUCUCACGCCCUCAUACUCUCAAUAGUGGUGAACGGGAAGACAUAAACUCACAGGAAAUACCAUGAAAUCUGGCAGAACUCCAUGAAUAUCAGCAACCCCUACUUUUUUCUUCACUGCUAUGGCCGCUAUGUUCAGUAGAGAAAGGACAAGCCUCUACGGCAAUGAGUUGGAAACUUAGUAGCCAGGUCGUUUGUCCCCGUUGUCUCGUUUCAGGUACUAUCAUACGAAGUCGUCUUCGGAAGAAGACAUUUUGGAGAAAGAUCGAAGAUAAAUCCCUCAUCAAUCCCUGCUUCUUACAUCCCGUUCUUGGGUGUACCUAAAACGUAAAGUAUAGUGAAAUCGUAGAUAGAUAUUGUGCUUGCUUGCUUUGAUGUCGUCUACUUACUAAAUAUUUAGGGUAAAUUGCAUAUAGUUAACAAUUGGGUUAAAUUACAAUAUUGCACGUUAGGUGAUUUUUAUGGAGUUUGUA